AUUGCUCUAAAAGAUGCUGUGCUCUUGGACUCUAAAUUGCAGGAGCAUUGGGAGCGCCAUUUUUGUUGGAGGACCCUGCAAACCAGUUCCUACGUCUCAAAAGACAUGUAAAUUUGCAGGAUUACUGGGACCCAGAUCACAGUUCAGAUGUGUGGGGAAACACACUGGCUAAGCAGGCUCGUGAAACAUGGAUUGCUUUGAAAACAACAGCACAGUAUUAUUUGGAUAUGAAUACCUUCACCUUUGACAUGUCUACUGCCCAGUAAAUAUGUUUUCCUGGUUAAAGCAGGAGGAUGAAGAUGGCGGAGGUUGGAAUGGCAUUGUGCCAAAACCAUGGGUUUUAGAGAUCUGAGGGUAUAUCCAUGCUGUUUACUACAUUAUUUAUUAUGCCUGUCUCAAAGUUGUUGAAAACAGUAGUUAUGAAAACCCAUGUAGAAACCUGGAAUAAGACAUUCUCAAUAAAUGGUAGUUCUCAAAAAAAGAACUAAAAAAAAAAAAGGCUGUAGUAAUAACAUUUACCAAAAUGAUGGCAUUUAUGGGAAAAGGAAAGCAAAAACAAAAACAAAAAAAAAGUAGUUUCAUUAAACCACUCUGUUCAUAGCUUUUACUCUCUAUUGCCUCUUCUUUGAGAGAGUUUUUUAAUUCAAAGAAGGACAGGGAGCUCUCAAAUAGAGCUGAUCCUCUUCUCUCUUCUUCAGUGCUUGUCGCAUUCUUAAGUCAGUCGAUUUUAAAACCAUGAUUUUGAAACGUUUUUCAUCAAAGGUGUACUGCUGAGUGGAGAAUACAGCCUUACCUUAAUAUAACAAGUAGAUAGUGGCUAGGAACUCAAUGGAAGUCAUUCACUUGUAAGUGCAAAUUUCUUCUAAGUUUUGUAAAAUUUUUGUAAGCUUUGCAUUCUGUUCCACAAUUUAUUGAUGUUUGUUUUAAUGUGAAAUAACAGUUUUGACUCACUGGCCAGGCACAUUUUAUAAUUUUUUCAAUUAAAACUGAAAAAUUGGCCAUAGGGAAAAGUGGACUGCAUUUAUCCUAUAACUUUCCUAAUAUUCAUGGAUUACCACCUCAGUUUGAGAAGCAUUGAGAUGAUACAACUAAUUGCCAAGAUUGCCCCCCAAAAUCACAGGUAAAUGGAAUUUUUGUCCUCAGAAGUCUAUUUAUCUCCAUUCUCUAUUCUCUAUUUUAGUUGUUCUCUCGAACAAUUUAUUUUUACCUUUUAAGGUAAAUGGAAACAUUUCCCUAAGACCUUAGUUGAUCUUAUGUGGUCUUAAAACAAUCUUAAGCACUUUUUGAGUGGCAAGUAAAUCAGAAAAACCAAAUGCCAAGAAGUUGACUGGAAGGACUUGGGUCUCAGCAAUUUCUUCUCCAAAAGGACACUGACAGCUGCUCAGUAUUCCACAUUUCCCAUCCUAUGGCCUAGAGGUGUUUUCAGUGAGAAAUUUAAGGCUAAUUUAUAACUUAUUAAGUUAACUGCUAUCCAUUUCCAAUAAAUAUGAACAUAGAUUUUUAAAUUACAUCUGAA
rnacentral:lncRNA from 1 species